AUUUCCACUUCUACAUGAGAACACUGGAGAGGAGAGUGAUUGGCUAGACUAAUGUUGCUUAAGUCAUUAGUGGAGUUAUUAGUCCAAAUUGCCAGAAGCUAGUCUAUAAUUUUGUUGUUGUUUUUGUUGUUGUUGUUUCUGUUUUUAUUUUAUGAGACAGAGUUUUUCUGUAUAGCCUUGGCUGUCCUGGAACUAGUUCUAUAGACGAGGCUGGCUUCAAACUCAUAGAGAUCCACCUGCCUCUGCCUCCUUAGUGCUGGGAUUAAAGACAUGUGCUACCACUAUCUGUAUUUUUUAAUUUUCUAGCACAAUAGGCAUUUACUGAGUACUUAUUAAUGCCAGACAGUUUACUAAAAGUGAAACAAUAAACUGGUACAUGACUAGUGAAAAAUGGGCUGGUAAAGUAGUGGCCCAGCAUAAAGGAAAUCAAAACAAAACAAAAACCCCCAGCUUGUAACAGUCAGCAGCAUAGUCAUAUUUUGAGGGUAAUGUAGUUUCAUUCAAUAAAAUAACGUUCAUCGCAUUAAAUUUGUGUUAUUACUCCAACUGUAGUUUUUUUGUCAAGUUUAAUUUUUUUGUUUUGUUUUGUUUUUUCAAGACAGGGUUUCUCUGUGUAGCCCUGGCUGUCCUGGAACUCACUUUAUAGACCAGGCUGGCCUCGAACUCAGAAAUCCACCUGCCUCUGCCUCCUGAGUGCUGGGAUUAAAGGUGCGCGCCACCACCGCCCAGCAAGUUUAAUUUUUAAGAAGAACCUCGGGGCUAGGGAAAUGGCUUAGUUAGUAAGUUGGUUAAUAAACCCUGUGUUCUGUCCCCAGAACCAACGUAAAAGAAACCCAGUCAUGGUGGCUUUCGUUUAUAAUCUCAGCACUAGGGAGUCAGAGACAAACAUGCCUGAGGCUCUCUAGUCAGACAGUGUACCUACUUGGUGAGCUCCAGGUCUUAUAAGAGAGCCUGCAUCAGAGGAUUUAGCUCAGUGGUAGAGCGCUUGCCUAGCAAGCGCAAGGUCCUGGGUUCAGUCCUCAGCU
rnacentral:lncRNA from 1 species